rnacentral:rRNA from 1 species
AAAGCGGGGGCAACCCCGCAAGUAGAGUGGCGAACGGGUGAGUAAUACAUCGGAACGUGUCCAGUAGUGGGGGAUAACCUCUCGAAAGAGAGGCUAAUACCGCAUACGACCUACGGGUGAAAGAGGGGGAUCGCAAGACCUCUCACUAUUGGAGCGGCCGAUGUCGGAUUAGCUAGUUGGCGGGGUAAAAGCCCACCAAGGCUACGAUCCGUAGCUGGUCUGAGAGGACGACCAGCCACACUGGAACUGAGACACGGUCCAGACUCCUACGGGAGGCAGCAGUGGGGAAUUUUGGACAAUGGGCGCAAGCCUGAUCCAGCCAUGCCGCGUGAGUGAAGAAGGCCUUCGGGUUGUAAAGCUCUUUCGGCUGGGACGAAAAGGUCCGUGUCAACACCACGGAUCCAUGACGGUACCAGCAGAAGAAGCACCGGCUAACUACGUGCCAGCAGCCGCGGUAAUACGUAGGGUGCAGGCGUUAAUCGGAAUUACUGGGCGUAAAGCGUGCGCAGGCGGUUUGCUAAGACAGGUGUGAAAUCCCCGGGCUUAACCUGGGAACUGCGCUUGUAACUGGCAAGCUGGAGUGUGGCAGAGGGGGGUGGAAUUCCACGUGUAGCAGUGAAAUGCGUAGAGAUGUGGAGGAACACCGAUGGCGAAGGCAGCCCCCUGGGCUAACACUGACGCUCAUGCACGAAAGCGUGGGGAGCAAACAGGAUUAGAUACCCUGGUAGUCCACGCCCUAAACUAUGUCAACUGGUUGUCGGGGAAGCAAUUCCUUGGUAACGAAGCUAACGCGUGAAGUUGACCGCCUGGGGAGUAC